GGGGGGGGAGCGAGGGGUGCAGCUGGGGGUGGGGUGGGUGGGGAUGGAGGCAGGCAGGAGCUGGGUGGAGGACCGAAGAUGGCAGCCAGUACAGAUAUCUUUGCAACGCAUGGACACGGAUCAGGAGAAUCUGCCGUGGCGGUUUGAAUCCUGGAGGACGGCGUUGUUUCCAGAUCUCUGUGAGCAGCGCUGAACAGCUGAUCUGCCUCCAGCUCUGACAGACUGUACAGUCGGACCAUAAGGAGACCUUUGUUUUCCGUCAAGGAGAAGGAACUAAUGUGUAUUUUUGUUCCCACUGCUUCGCAGCUAGCGGCCAUCAUGUCAUUGUUUUAAUUUCCUCAGAGCUGCACAGCCUCUCAUGGUUUUGUAAAGCUGUUGUUGUUUUUAAACUGUUUAUACUCCAUGAUAUCAGUGUUUGUUUAUGACGAGGAAAUGAUUUAUUCUCCUGAUUGAUAACCUCAGCAAGUUUCCAACGGGCCAUAGUGUACAUACACUUUUCUAUAACUGAUGAAGGCAGACUAAUACUUGUUUGUGUAUAUUCCCUCUGAACAUUGAAUGUGCAUAACUUCUCUGCUUCAUAUGAUCUUCGUUCUUAUUCUGGAUGAUGAUUUGUAACUCUUAAAAAUUUGCCAUGUAAUUUGUAGCUACCUUGGUGACACAUUUUUCUGUGGCUGUGCAAAUCGAUUGUACUUGAUGCAUAGUGCAUAGCGCAUUGUUACGAUUACUGUAUUAAAAGGCAGUAAAAUGCA